GAUGAACGCUGGCGGCGUGCCUAAUACAUGCAAGUCGAGCGAACGGACGAGAAGCUUGCUUCUCUGAUGUUAGCGGCGGACGGGUGAGUAAAACGUGGAUAACCUACCUAUAAGACUGGGAUAACUUCGGGAAACCGGAGCUAAUACCGGAUGAUAUUUUGAACCGCAUGGUUCAAAAGUGAAAGACGGUCUUGCUGUCACUUAUAGAUGGAUCCGCGCUGCAUUAGCUAGUUGGUAAGGUAACGGCUUACCAAGGCAACGAUGCAUAGCCCACCUGAGAGGGUGAUCGGCCACACUGGAACUGCGCCACGGUCCAGACUCCUACGGGAGGCAGCAUUAGGAAAUCUUCCGCAAUAGGCGAAAGCCUGACGGAGCAACACCGAGUGAGUGAUGUAGGUCUUCGGAUCGUAAAACUCUGUUAGUAGGAAAGAACAUAUGUGUAAAUAACUGGGCACAUCUUGACGGUACCUAAUCAGAAUGCCACGGCUAACUACGUG
rnacentral:rRNA from 1 species